rnacentral:rRNA from 1 species
CCUACGGGAGGCAGCAGUGAGGAAUAUUGGUCAAUGGACGAGAGUCUGAACCAGCCAAGUAGCGUGAAGGAUGACUGCCCUAUGGGUUGUAAACUUCUUUUAUAAAGGAAUAAAACGAGGCACGUGUGCCUUUUUGCAUGUACUUUAUGAAUAAGGAUCGGCUAACUCCGUGCCAGCAGCCGCGGUAAUACGGAGGAUCCGAGCGUUAUCCGGAUUUAUUGGGUUUAAAGGGAGCGUAGAUGGGUUGUUAAGUCAGUUGUUAAAGUUUGCGGCUCAACCGUAAAAUUGCAAUUGAUACUGGCAGUCUUGAGUACAGUUGAGGUAGGCGGAAUUCGUGGUGUAGCGGUGAAAUGCUUAGAUAUCACGAAGAACCCCGAUUGCGAAGGCAGCUUAUUAAACUGUGACUGACAUUGAUGCUCGAAAGUGUGGGUAUCAAACAGGAUUAGAUACCCUGGUAGUC